rnacentral:ncRNA from 17 species
CUGUUCCGGGGCCGUGGUGGACUUCCGGGGCCAUGUACGGCGGCAGAAGAGGAAGCCGGUGCGAAUCCGGCGCGGUCCCGCCACUGUCACCGGGGAGGAACACCCCCGGAAGCCAGGAACUCUCGCCGCCGGUCACGUCGAACCA